UACGGAGGAUGCGAGCGUUAUCCGGAUUUAUUGGGUUUAAAGGGUGCGUAGGCGGGCUUUUAAGUCAGCGGUAAAAAUUCGGGGCUCAACCCCGUCCGGCCGUUGAAACUGGGGGCCUUGAGUGGGCGAGAAGAAGGCGGAAUGCGUGGUGUAGCGGUGAAACGCAUAGAUAUCACGCAGAACCCCGAUUGCGAAGGCAGCCUUCCGGCGCCCUACUGACGCUGAGGCACGAAAGUGCGGGGAUCGAACAGG
rnacentral:rRNA from 1 species